rnacentral:rRNA from 1 species
GGAGGCAGCAGGGGGGAAUAUUGGACAAUGGGAGCAAGCCUGAUCCAACCAUGCCGUGUGUGUGAAGAAGGCCUUAAGGUUGUAAAGCACUUUCAGUGGGGAGGAAGGCCUUAAGUUUAAUAGCCUUCAGGAUUGACGUUACCUACAGAAGAAGCACCGGCUAACUCCGUGCCAGCAGCCGCGGUAAUACUGAGGGUGCGAGCGUUAAUCGGAAUUACUGGGCGUAAAGCGCGCGUAGGCGGUUAGAUAAGCGGGAAGUGAAAGCCCUGGGCUCAACCUGGGAAGGGCAUUCAGAACUGGCUGGUUAGAGUACGAGAGAGGGUACUGGAAUAUCCUGUGAAACGGUAAAAUGCGUAGAUAUUGGAAGGAACAUCAGUGGCGAAGGCGAAGGCCUGG